UCGCAAAGUGAAAACAGGGCGAUAAAUCAUUCAAGUUUCUGACCUAUCAGCUUUCGACGGUAUGGUAUUGGCUUACCGUGGCAGUGACGGUUAACGGGGGAUUAGGGUUCGAUUCCGGAGAGGGAGCCUGAGAAACGGCUACCACAUCUAAGGAAGGCAGCAGGCGCGCAAAUUACCCAAUUCUAACAGUUUGAGAGAGGUAGUAACAAGAAAUAACAAUACAAGGCAGUUAAAAUGCUUUGUAAUUGGAAUGAUAGAAAUUUAAACCCUUUUUAAAGUAUCAAUUGGAGGGCAAGUCUGGUGCCAGCAGCCGCGGUAAUUCCAGCUCCAAUAGCGUAUAUUAAAAUUGUUGCAGUUAAAAAGCUCGUAGUUGAAGUUCUGCUAAAAGUAACCGGUCUGCUUUUAAUAAAGGUGGUAUCUUGGUGUGUAUUUAGCAAUGAUGUCCUUUGAAGUGUUUUUUACUUUAUUGUAAUAAAGCAUAUUCAGGACUUUUACUUUGAGAAAAUUAGAGUGUUUCUAGCAGGCUACCGCUUUGAAUACUGC
rnacentral:rRNA from 1 species